rnacentral:tRNA from 1 species
GCCCCUGUGGCGGAAUUGGUAGACGCGCCUGACUCAAAAUCAGGUGAUGAAAAUCGUGCUGGUUCGAGUCCGGCCAGGGGCACCA